AAAGUUUUAUUCUUGCUUAAAAAAUUUAUUAUAAUUUUAUUUUAUAUGUAAAUUUUUGUGGGAUUAGGUAGUUUUCUAAAAGAAAAUUAUUUUUUAUUUAUUCGCAGUAAUUAAUAUUAAAUAUUAAAGAAAUUUAGAAUUAGUAAUAUUUAAAAGUAUUGGUAAAUUUUGUGCCAGCUACCGCGGUUAUACAAAAAAUACAAAUAAAUUUAUUAGUAUAAGUUAAAUUGAAAAUUUAAGAGUUAAAAUAAAAUUAAAUUUAUUAGGUGAAAUUUUAAAUUUAUAAAUUUUUAAAAUAAAAAUAAAUUUAGGCUAUGAAAUUUUAUAUAAAAACUAGGAUUAGAUACCCUAUUAUUUAAAAUGUAAAAUAAAAAAGCUUGAGUAGUAUUAGAUAUGAUCUUGAAACUUAAAGAAUUUGGCGGUAUUUUAGUCUAUUCAGAGGAACCUGUUCUAUAAUCGAUAGUCCACGAUGUACCUGGCUUAAAUUAGUAUUACAGUAUGUAUACCGCCGUCAUUAGAAAAUCUUGAAAAAGAAUUAAUUUUCUUAAUUUAUUAUUAUAAAAAAUGUCAGGUCAAGGUGCAGCUUAUAUUUAAGAAGAAAUGGGUUACAAUAAAUAAAUUUAUAUAGUUAUUUAAUUGAAAUAAUUAAAUUUAAAGUGGAUUUGAUAGUAAAAUUAUAAAGAUAAAUAAUUUGAUUAAAGCUCUAAAAUAUGCACAUAUCGCCCGUCGCUCUUGUUAAUAAAAUAAGAUAAGUCGUAACAUAGUAGAUGUACUGGAAAGUGUAUCUAGAAUGA
rnacentral:ncRNA from 1 species